rnacentral:rRNA from 1 species
UAUGACCUACGGGGGGCAGCAGUAGGGAAUUUUCGUCAAUGGGCGCAAGCCUGAACGAGCAAUGCCGCGUGAACGAGGAAGGUCUUCGGAUCGUAAAGUUCUGUUGAAGGGGAAAAAGAGAGGAGAGAGGAAAUGCUUUCUGAUUGAUAUUACCCUUCGAGGAAGUCACGGCUAACUACGUGCCAGCAGCCGCGGUAAUACGUAGGUGGCGAGCGUUAUCCGGAAUGAUUGGGCGUAAAGAGUGCGUAGGCGGCCUGCUCAGUCUGGAGUGAAAGGUACGGGCUCAACCGGUACAGGCGCGGGAA